AUUGCUUGAACCCAGGAGGCAGAGGUUGCAGUGAGCCGAGACUGCGCCUCUGCACUCCAGCCCAGGCAACAGUGCAAGACACUGUCCAAAAAAAAAAAAAGAAUAUGAAAUUAUAGAAAUGAUUUGCUAAUGAUUAGUAGCCUUCUAUCAAUUAAAGACCAAAUGUGUUCAGUCAUAAAAUCCUAAGUAUAUUGGAGUAUUGCAGGCACAGUCAUCAAGUUGUAGGUAUUCUUUUAGCCAUCUAGGGCGGGUAAAUUUGGUUGCGUAACAAAAGUGGUUUUUACACUGUUUCUGUCCUAAGAGAUACUGCUAGCUAAAAGUUGACAUAAAGCUGUUAUUUCAAAUACAGGAAAUAGAUUACCAUAAUUUGACAUAGCUUUAAAAUAUUUAUCUCUUACUGGAUAGAUUCGCUAUAAAAUCAAAUUUUGUUGAAGAGAAACUGGCAUUGUUGCUUUAAAAAUAAUCACAAAAGAUAGUUUAUCCUGGUGUUAUCAUUUCACACUAGGAUAGUUAAUUUUGACUGAAAUCAGGGUUGCUAACAAUAAGGUUAAGUUUCCAAAUUCAAAAGAAAACAUUUACUGAUAUGAAAAAGAAACUAUACAUACUUGUUUUAGCUAUCAUUUGAUAAUCUUAUUUUCAUAUUGUGAAGUACCCUUCUUGAAUAAAAGCAGAAAAUUAAGACUUUCAAAAAACAAGCUGUAUAAAUUAAAGCUACUGGAAAUAGGAUGAAGGUUAAGAAUUCUUUGGAUGGUUUCUUCUAGCUGAAGCUUGUCCAUCCUAUAGCCCGUGACGGCUUUGAAUGUAGCCCAACAUACAUUUGUAAAUUUUCUUAAAACAUUCUGAUUUUUUUUUUUUUUUUUUAGCUCAACUAUCCUUAGUGUAUUUUCUGUGUCGCCCAAGGCAAUUCUUCCAAUGUGGCCCGGGGAAGCCAAAAGAUUGGACACCCCCAUCCUAGUUAACAAAGGAGGCUGUUAACCAUCAACCUCACAUGGACACCAUUGGAGUACGAUGCCAUCUCCCAUUCUCUUCUGAACUCGCCUCUACCAAAACUGCUCACCAGGGUCACCAGCUAUCUUUCAAGUAAGCCAAAAAGCCGAGGAUCUCCUUUGAAAAAUUUUCUCCCCCACCAUCCUCCUCACCCCAUUCUAAUCUUUUAGCAAAUCCAACUGCCUCUACAACCCAUGCUGCUGAAUGCCAUGGUGAGACUUAAAAGGUAAGCCAAGUCUGCACUUAAAAUUGCCAGUGACUUUCCCUGUUUUUCUUCCCUCCAUAUGGGCAUGGGCUUUCCCUCCUUUUCAUGUAAAUGUCGUCUUACCAAAGAAGUCUUCCACAACCCCUUAUAGGAGAGAGCCUAUACCCUGUCUCUCUACCUGGUUUUAUAUUUCUUAAAAGCACUUAUCCCUAUCUGAUAUACUAAGUGUUUAAUUAUGAGACAAACAGGAACAACUUUGUUUUCCUCACUGCUAUUAUUACUAUAGUCCUACUUCUGGAUUACCAUUUUGCUAAUAUUUACACAUAAGGUUUUAGAAAAUUGAGACUGGCCUUGGUAGAUUCUGUAAUCCAGGUUAUUAAUCUAGGUUAUGUCAGCUUCCUAAAAAAGGGUAACUUUCUGUCCUAUAUGGUUACUUGUUGAUGAGGGAAAGCUUAUUACACAUUUUUUUUUAAUCUUCUAUCUUUUGUAUACUAAGUGGGAGACACUGUUUAAUUGUAGACCCCACUAUAUAGUAUGUAUUCUUCGUAAAAUCAGGAAGCUUACAGGUUAACAGAUUUAAAGGUAAGAGAUAAUGGGCUGUGUGAACAUGUUUUUUACUGAUGAGGCAGUGAGGAUCUGAACCUGGCUGCAACCUGACAAACCAGAUUUUCAUUAAUGAAUAAGGCAAGUGACCUUAUUUUAACAUAAGUGGACCCCGUUGUAGAAUGCAUAUGUGUUUAAGAAAAAAUAAAUGGAAAGAAACAACAAUGCAGUAUUUAUUUUAUACAGCUGACCUGGGCACAUAGUGAAGUAGUAAGCUAUAAAAAUUCAAACAAUUAUCUCUAAAGGAAAUCAUUUGUUACAUGGCUUUACAUAUUGAUUACCCUGGAAAGUUUUUGAACUCUGUUUAGUAGCAGAUCUCCUUUCUUGAUUGUUUCUUGGUACUGCCAGUUCUUGCUAUCAGGUCUAUAAAUAAAUUCAAGAAAAAAUGAAUUAUUUAACAGUCACAUUACUCCAUAACGAUAGUUGACCACCUUCAAAAAUUUAGGAAUGCCCCUUCCUUUCAUCAGUGUAACAAAUGAUACACAAAAUGAAAGUACCUGUUGGUUUCUACUAUCUCAUUCACUUUAUCUAUUUUGCAGUGUAGUCUCCCAGCAGCAAUAAAUCUGGACAGUUCCCUAAUUCAGAGAAAAAAAAUAAAAGCAUUAGCUUUACAGAGAAUUCUUAGAAAAAUAAAUACUGCACUAAAAUACUGUCUUAAAUUUUUAACAUUUACUUUCCCUUCAAGCUUGGUACUGCAUAUGCAGUAGUUGAGGUUGUCCCUUUAAGUCACCUACCAGAAUAAACAUGAUCCUAGAAGUUCAUAUUCAGAUGGAAAGCAGGUCAAACAAUGACACCAUUUAUAUAUACUCAAAGGAAAACUAGGUUAUAGGAAAAAUUAUGGAAUAAAACUGACAAAACUAAUAAACUCUUUCAAACAAAAGACCUAAAACAAAAUUAUAAGACCUAAAACAAAAUUACAGAAUACAGCCCAUGGGUAAACAUGUCAACAGCAGUAAUAUUUAAAACAAUGACCCCUUCCCUCUCCAACAUAUCUUAGUCUAAAUAAGUUGGGGGUUGGGAAGAAAUGAUUAUUGCCUUGCCCAU